UGAGUUUACACAUUUAAGUCUCUUGGACCGAAGGGCAGUGUGCCUGUAUGUCGUGCAAAGAACAUUUUAAGGCCCAAGAAAGAAAAUCCCAUGAUCUUCACAUCCCUGCAAUGGCAGAGUCAUUGCAUAGAAGGGAGAUGCACUUCUUGAUUCUGAAAUGAAAAGACUGAACCAGAAAGAAGGCAGCUACAAGGAUUCAGAUUUUGGGACAAAAUAGGAGAGUGGUUUCUUUUAAAUAUUACACAAUCCAAGAUACUGAAUCCACAGAUGUGAAAUCACAGAUGCAGAGGACUGACUGUCAAGUUAUAUGUGGACUUUCAACUAUGUGAAGAAUCAGUGCACUAACACUCACACUGCUCAAGGACCAACUGCAUAUGAUUGAGAACACAGACUCAAUGAGGAGCCUGAGAUCCACAGAAUGUCACAAAAAGAAAGAGAAAACAUCAUGGAGGAGGAAAAUCUUUUU